GGCAAAUUGGGUGGAUCGUCAAGUAGUCAAGGCGGAAUGGAUAGUCGUUGAAAGGAAAGCUUUAAAGGUAACUCAUGAAAUGUGUCGGAUAAAGAUCAAGCGCGCACGAGGACCGAACACACAAAUAAAUGAAGCUUCCGUUGUUAUAUUAGUAGCUUUUGUUACAAAACUUGUAUGAUCAUCUUUUGAAUGUUCUCUUAAACUGGUGUAAAUAUCGUUUGAACGUUUUGCAAGCUAAGUAAACGUCGUUAUAUCAA